rnacentral:lncRNA from 1 species
CUCAAGGACACAUUGGCCUUUACCUUCAGUCUGACAGCCUUGCGGCAGGGGAUCACUGCUUUCUUCCCUUGUGACCCUCACGGUUUCCUUCUCAAGGGAAUCACCUCAGAGCUUUUGCAAAUGGGAAUGGAACCAACAGUUGGAAGGAGCAAGGAGGAAGAAGGGUAGGAGAUGAAAAACAAAAACAAAAUAGAGGGUGAGAAAUAAAAUGCAUUAUGUACAUGUACCAACUCCCCAGGAUAACUGUAAUCAUGUACUGUAAAUAUGUACUAAUAAAAAAUUAAAAAUAAAA